rnacentral:rRNA from 1 species
CCUACGGGUGGCAGCAGUGGGGAAUAUUGGACAAUGGGGGGAACCCUGAUCCAGCCAUGCCGCGUGUGUGAAGAAGGCCCUCGGGUUGUAAAGCACUUUCAGUGAGGAAGAACGCCUGGUGGUUAAUACCCAUCAGGAAAGACAUCACUCACAGAAGAAGCACCGGCUAACUCCGUGCCAGCAGCCGCGGUAAUACGGAGGGUGCGAGCGUUAAUCGGAAUUACUGGGCGUAAAGCGCGCGUAGGUGGCUUGAUAAGCCGGUUGUGAAAGCCCCGGGCUCAACCUGGGAACGGCAUCCGGAACUGUCAAGCUAGAGUGCAGGAGAGGAAGGUAGAAUUCCCGGUGUAGCGGUGAAAUGCGUAGAGAUCGGGAGGAAUACCAGUGGCGAAGGCGGCCUUCUGGACUGACACUGACACUGAGGUGCGAAAGCGUGGGUAGAAAACAGGAUUAGAUACCCCAGUAGUC